AAUUCGUUGUUAAAGCAAUGGAGCGUAUUUUUUAUAUACAAAAAAAGAUUUAUAUAAAAUAUUUUGUAAAACAAAUCGAAUUUCCACUCGAAGAGUCUUUAACUGUAUUAUAAUUAAGACGAGAACUUGUGGUUAAUAAUUUUAUUUUCUAUUUUUAAUAACGAAAUGCAGGUAAAGAAAUAAUAAUUUACAUGAAAAGUAAACUGAAAAAGCUUAAAUUAUUUAAUUUAAUCGCUCCACAAGAAAGUCGACUUAUAAACCGAAAUUAAUUAAAUACUAUAUAAACUAUUUUAUUUUAUUAUAUUUAAAAAAAUCAAAUUAAAGUUAAACAGAAAAAGUAUGAUUGAAACAUUUCUCGACCUCCGUUUUGUACGCCACAAUGGAAGCUCGAAGCUGACUUCGUUAUAACUUAAUUUAAAAUGUAUUCACUUUAACAUGUCAAUGUUUGAAAUUACUCAGAAAAGAGAAGUACGUACAAGGACAAGCCACUACUAAUUUCAGGUAAGAAUACAUUUUGAAUUAAAUUAGUUUAAAAAUACUAUAAAAAGUUGCAGUACGACAUUUUUACGAUGUCACAAUAAAUAAUUGCUCGUUUAACAUGUUUAAUUUCUAUUCAGAAAGUCUAGAAAUAUGAAAGAAGACGAACAAAUUUAAGGAUGUACUAAGAUAAUUAUAUUAGUUGUGAAGCUUAUUUUUAUUUAUUAAGCAUUUUGAAUUUAUUAACAAUAUUUAGUACAUAAAUGUUUAUUUAAGAUUAAUAAAAUAUAAGCCUUAUAUAUAAUUAGGUGAGUAGAUUUGUUUAGUAAAUGAACAUAGAAAUAAUGGAAACAUCUGGGACAAUUGUUGUAGGCCUAUGCCACGUCAUCAACAAAAUGGCUUCAUACAAAGAUUUCUAACAAGAGUUUCAACAAAAGUAAAACGCAAAAAUUGAAUACAGUGAUUAUUCUUGUCAUUCAGACAUUUGUACUUAACUUUAUUGAGUAUUUAAGAAAUGAAUUUAAAGUAAGUGGCCAAGUGGUCUUCGUUUCUUGAACACUGGGAAUUCGGUCGUGUGUUGGUGCCUCGCUCGGACGGGCUGGCCACGAGGAAUUUUCCGAGGUUUCUCUACGUCUGUAACGCCUAAAUACGGGACAGUUUUCCUUUAAAAGACCUCUCGGAAGGCAUCCCUUAAGAAAAUCGCCCAAGUCUAGCGUUGUCUUAACUUAAUCAAACAAUAAUAAAAAAUUAAAUAUAAGUACACAUUUUUCAUGUGGCCACAUCCCAGGACAGAAUUGAUUAUUUUUAAGUUAUAGAAAAUAUCAUGAAAUCAAACGAUAUAAUUAUUUUUCAUUUUUCAAAGUAAUUUAAUACGU